rnacentral:tRNA from 5 species
GCGGGUGUAGUUUAGUGGUAAAACGUCCGCUUGCCAAGUGGAAGAGCGUGGGUUCGAUCCCCAUCACCCGCUCCC